rnacentral:rRNA from 1 species
ACCUGGCUCACGCCGGUUUAAACUCAGAUCAUGUAAAAUUUUAAAGGUCGAACAGACCUAAUUUAUUAGSUUYUCCACCAAUAAUUUCUUUUAAUCCAACAUCGRGGUCGCAAUCUUUUUUUUUAAUUUGAACUCUAAAAAAAAAUUACGCUGUUAUCCCUAAGGUAAUUUUAUCUUAUAAUCUUAAUUUAAGGAUCAAUUCUUCAUUUAUAAAUGGUUUUAUACAAAAAAAGUUUAUUUAAUUUUUCAAUCACC